GGGGGGGGGGGGGGGGGGGGGGGGGGGGGGGGGGGCGGGCGGGAGGGCGCGGCGUUUGGGGGGUGCUCGAGUGGCGAACGGGUGAGUAACACGGGAGUAACCUGCCCUUGACUUUGGGAUAACUUCAGGAAACUGGGGCUAAUACCGGAUAGGAGCUCCUGCUGCAUGGUGGGGGUUGGAAAGUUUCGGCGGUUGGGGAUGGACUCGCGGCUUAUCAGCUUGUUGGUGGGGUAGUGGCUUACCAAGGCUUUGACGGGUAGCCGGCCUGAGAGGGUGACCGGCCACAUUGGGACUGAGAUGCGGCCCAGACUCCUACGGGAGGCAGCAGUGGGGAAUAUUGCACAAUGGGCGGAAGCCUGAUGCAGCAACGCCGCGUGCGGGAUGACGGCCUUCGGGUUGUAAACCGCUUUCGCCUGUGACGAAGCGUGAGUGACGGUAAUGGGUAAAGAAGCACCGGCUAACUACGUG
rnacentral:rRNA from 1 species